rnacentral:rRNA from 1 species
UACGUAGGGAGCGAGCGUUGUCCGGAAUUACUGGGUGUAAAGGGAGCGUAGGCGGGAACGCAAGUCAGAUGUGAAAUGCAUGGGCUUAACCCAUGAGCUGCAUUUGAAACUGCGAUUCUUGAGUGAAGUAGAGGUAAGCGGAAUUCCUGGUGUAGCGGUGAAAUGCGUAGAUAUCAGGAGGAACACCGGUGGCGAAGGCGGCUUACUGGGCUUUUACUGACGCUGAGGCUCGAAAGCGUGGGGAGCAAAC